ACCAGGGGGUUUGUCUUUUAUGAAUGUGAAAUGUGUCCGCAGAAGACGUAGGAAAUGCAAUUGAUUCUCCCGAAAUAAAAUUUAUAAGAAAACGCUAUGGAUAUGGGAUAGACGACUACGCAGGAUUAGCUAGAUGGGUAUGGACGAUCAAACUACUAAUCCACUGCCCGUCCUUUAUGGGAAAUACACGAGUGAACCGUCUCGCUGAUACUUCUUUGCCGGAGCAGCCAUCCUUUGAAGCGCAUCGGCUGGACCGCCCCCUUUCCCCCAAACUGGAUUCGGGGUGUCUAUAAUUUUCAAUUGAGCUCCUAAGAUUCAGUACUGGUGAUGAUGACUUUAACUCUUCAACACUUGGAGCUCAGCCUGUCCGGCCCCAAUUCUACUGCCUAUCAUUAAUGGUCUUUUAAAACGGGUAAUCCCCGUCUCACAUCUGUUUUGCUUCAUCAGACACUUAAACAAAGUAAUAGUGGGAUAUAGCGGGGAGUUUGACCGUUUAUUGCGAAGUAUAACAAAUGCGAGGCCAGAUGGGCUCUUGGUAGCCCCUUGGGAUAGAAAAGGGCUAUUAAGUUUAUUCUCUGCAUUACAAGGAAAUAUGAUAUAUCGGUUUCCUUUCGUUCUAGAGUCUCAGGGAAAUAAAACGAAACGAUACGGAUUGACGUGACUCUUUUCGUUCUUCAGUGCCGCAGACGGAAAGCUUGGGACACCACGGACGUUCGAGAGAUUCCGUGUUCUCCACAAACUCGGGGAUUCGUGUAUUUCCCACUCAAUGUGCUGUAUAACUGUGCGGGACCUCUCUGACCCCUCGCACACAAAGAGGCAGCACUUACUCUAAUGACGCAGAGACUUGCUUUCAUGCCUUACGAUUUGAGACUCUGGCUCUCCGUGUUCACAGCGGACCUUGAUUUAAUGUCAUACAAUUAAGGCACGCGGUGAAUGCCAAGAGCGGAGCCUUCACCCUCCACCUCGGGCUCCUUAAAACUUGCCACCAAAGAGACACCAAAACGCCUUUGAAAGGACGUGAGACGAUAGUCCCGGUUUUUUUUUUCUUUCAUUUCUUCUGUAAGCCAUGGUCUCUCUCUCUCUCUAAAUAAAAUGAAGCAUGGAAAUAUGA